AGGGGUCACGGGGGAAAUGGGGAUUCGGGGCGGGGUGGAAUAGAGGGGUCAGGGGGGAAAUGGGAUUCGGGGGGGGGUGGAAUAGAGGGUCAUCGGGGGGGAAAUGGGGAUUCGGGGGGAUGGAAUAGAGGGGUCAGGGGGGGAAAUGGGGAUUCGGGGGGGGGUGGAAUAGAGGGAUCGGGGGGAAAUGGGGAUUCGGGGCGGGGUGGAAUAGAGGGGUGGAGGGGAAAUGGGGGGGGGGCUUGAGGGAGUUAUUGGGGGGGACUCGGGGGCUCAUGGAGGGCACAGAGGGGAGCAGGAGCAGCGCCUUCUGCCAGGGAUUCAGCCCCAUGGUGGGGGAAUGGGUGGGGGGUCCCAGGGGAAAAUGGGGCGGGUACGCGGGGGGUCCCAAGGCACCACAGCCGGGACAAAGCAAGGGGGGGCAACAGCAGCGGCUGGCGGGGCCCGAGCCCGUGGGAGGGACUGAGGAGGGCACAAGGGCAGGGGCGUGUGUGGGGCCGGGGGGCUCACAGGGGCAGAGAGGGGGUCAGGCCUGGGGGGCUGUGAGGUGGGACUGGGGGAAGCGUCGCGGACGGGACCCGCCCCUUCGCGCAACCCCCAGAGCAGCGGAAACGCUCGGGGACCACCCGAGACCCUCCCCCCAAGGCUCCGCCGUCCCGGUGCCCACCCAGGACCCGCUGAGACCCUCCCCAAGCCGGGUCCUGACACCUCCAAAGCCCUCCCGGUUCCGGGACCCCCGAGCCCCCCCCGCCCCUCACCGCGGCCGCCGCCGGCGCGGGCAGCGCGGGGCACGACGGGAGUGGGCGGGGCCUGCGCGCGCCGCCGGCCGCGAUUGGGCGAGCGCUGAGGGUGUGGCCUUUGAUGGGCGUGGUCUUGGUGGGCGUGUCGGAGUGGGCGUGGUUUGUGGGGUGGGCGUGGCCUCGACUUCCUCCCGAAUCGCCCCAAUUUCACCCCAACAGUCACCCCCCGGUUUCACCCCCAAAUGCCCCUCGGUUUUCACCCCCAAAUGCCCCCAAAUCCACCCCCAAAUCCCCCCGAUUUCAGCCCCAAAUUCCCCCCGAUUUCACCCCAAAUCCCCCCAAAUCCCCCCAAAUCCACCCCCAAAUCCUCCCGAUUUCACCCCCAAAUCCCUCCGGUUUCACCCCCCAAAUGCCCCCGGUUUCACCCCCAAAUCCCCCCGAUUU
rnacentral:lncRNA from 1 species